GAGGCAAAACCGCGAGGUGGAGCAAAUCUCAAAAAAGCCGUCCCAGUUCGGAUUGCAGGCUGCAACCCGCCUGCAUGAAGUUGGAAUCGCUAGUAAUCGCGGAUCAGCAUGCCGCGGUGAAUACGUUCCCGGGCCUUGUACACACCGCCCGUCACACCAUGAGAGUCGGGAACACCCGAAGUCCGUAGCCUGACCGCAAGGAGGGCGCGGCCGAAGGUGGGUUCGAUAAUUGGGGUGAAGUCGUAACAAGGUACC
rnacentral:rRNA from 1 species